GCACCUUCCGAUACGGCUACCUUGUUACGACUUUACCCUAGUCAUGAACCCUGCCGUGGCAGUCGCCCUCCUUGCGGUUAGGCUAACGGCUUCUGGCAAAAUCCACUCCCAUGGUAUGACGGGCGGUGUGUACAAGACCCGGGAACGUAUUCACCGCGACAUUCUGAUCCGCGAUUACUAGCGAUUCCAGCUUCACGUAGUCGAGUUGCAGACUACGAUCCGGACUACGAUGCAUUUUCUGAGAUUAGCUCCCCCUCGCGGGUUGGCAACCCUCUGUAUGCACCAUUGUAUGACGUGUGAAGCCCUACCCAUAAGGGCCAUGAGGACUUGACGUCAUCCCCACCUUCCUCCGGUUUGUCACCGGCAGUCUCUUUAGAGUGCUCUUGCGUAGCAACUAAAGACAAGGGUUGCGCUCGUUGCGGGACUUAACCCAACAUCUCACGACACGAGCUGACGACAGCCAUGCAGCACCUGUGUUCACUUUCCCUUACGGGCACCUAAUGUAUCUCUACUUCGUUAGUGACAUGUCAAGGGUAGGUAAGGUUUUUCGCGUUGCAUCGAAUUAAUCCACAUCAUCCACCGCUUGUGCGGGUCCCCGUCAAUUCCUUUGAGUUUUAAUCUUGCGACCGUACUCCCCAGGCGGCUGACUUCACGCGUUAGCUACGUUACUCAGGAUGAAAAUCCGA
rnacentral:rRNA from 1 species